AAAAAUAUCGUAAAGUGGGGCAAAACUCACUUAACUGUCUUGCUUAUCAAUGGAAAUAUUGGGCUCAAUUGUGCUGCUGUUGAAUGGGGCCAGAAUUGCUGGAGGGAACAAAUGGAGCCAAGUUCCAGAGACUACUGGAUCAAAAGAAAACUGAACAAUCUUGAAACUGAAUGGGAAGUACAGGAGGUUAUAUGAAUUAAUACUGUAUACUAUGUUAACCAAAUUUGUGAGCAAACUUCCAAAUAAACUGCAGGUUUAUAUCUUUACUUUGUUAUAAUACGUGUGGAGUGUAUACAAAGUCUAGAGGCAUUCUUGUAAAGAAAUACACUUCUCACAGCAGGUAUCUAGUUUUGUGCUAUGCCAGUUUCCUGAAGAUUAUUACCGGACAUCUAUGAGAUCUGAAUGUGAACCACGUUGCCCUCUCUUCAUCUCAGUAUAGCUUUCUGUUUCUUUACUUUUUUCCACCCUAUAAUGCCAGUUUUGUUUGGAAGUCCUACAUAUUCUGUAAAUAGGAGAAAAAAAAUGUAUCAGUUUUGUUGUAUUAAAAUAGUAAGAAUGAUAAAAUAAAAAGUUGGGUUAGGGCUUAUGAGAAA